rnacentral:rRNA from 1 species
AGGAAAGCAGGGGAUCGCAAGACCUUGCGCUUUUGGAGCGGCCGAUGUCUGAUUAGCUAGUUGGUGAGGUAAAGGCUUACCAAGGCUUCGAUCAGUAGCUGGUCUGAGAGGACGACCAGCCACACUGGGACUGAGACACGGCCCAGACUCCUACGGGAGGCAGCAGUGGGGAAUUUUGGACAAUGGGGGCAACCCUGAUCCAGCCAUGCCGCGUGAGUGAAGAAGGCCUUCGGGUUGUAAAGCUCUUUCAGCCGGAACGAAAAGGUUACGGUUAAUACCCGUGACUAAUGACGGUACCGGAAGAAGAAGCACCGGCUAACUACGUGCCAGCAGCCGCGGUAAUACGUAGGGUGCGAGCGUUAAUCGGAAUUACUGGGCGUAAAGCGUGCGCAGGCGGUUUUGUAAGUCAGAUGUGAAAUCCCCGGGCUUAACCUGGGAACUGCGUUUGAAACUACAAAGCU